rnacentral:rRNA from 1 species
AUUAGGAAUCUUGCGCAAUGGGGGCAACCCUGACGCAGCGACGCCGCGUGGAGGAGGAAGUCCUUCGGGAUGUAAACUCCUUUUCUCGCAGAAGAAACAAAUGACGGUAUGCGAGGAAGAAGCCCCGGCUAACUACGUGCCAGCAGCCGCGGUAAUACGUAGGGGGCGAGCGUUGUCCGAAGUUACUGGGCGUAAAGGGCGCGUAGGCGGAGGCCUAAGUCCGCUGUGAAAGCCCGGAGCUUAACUCCGGUUGGUCGGUGGAGACUGGGUCUCUUGAAGGGGCUAGAGGGAGAUGGAAUUACCGGUGUAGCGGUGAAAUGCGUAGAGAUCGGUAGGAACACCCGUGGCGAAGGCGGUCUCCUGGGGCCUUCUUGACGCUGAGGCGCGAAAGCUGGGGGAGCGAACGG